UCUGGACUAAGAUAAUCGAUUAUGUACUUAUGAUAAUCGAUUAUGUUUAAGUCAGCUGCUUGACAAUCGAUUGUGAACUUAUGACAGUCGAUUGUGUCAAGACAGUGAGCAUCAGAUUUUUCAAAUCUGCAUGACAAUCGGUUAUGAACCUUAUGACAAUCGAUUGUGAUGAGGCAGUGUCCAUCAAAGUUUUUCAAAGCUCAA
rnacentral:lncRNA from 1 species